UACGAAGGGGGCUAGCGUUGCUCGGAAUCACUGGGCGUAAAGCGCCCGUAGGCGGAUUGCUAAGUCAGGGGUGAAAUCCUGGAGCUCAACUCCAGAACUGCCUUUGAUACUGGCGAUCUUGAGUCCGGGAGAGGUGAGUGGAACUGCGAGUGUAGAGGUGAAAUUCGUAGAUAUUCGCAAGAACACCAGUGGCGAAGGCGGCUCACUGGCCCGGUACUGACGCUGAGGUGCGAAAGCGUGGGGAGCAAACAGG
rnacentral:rRNA from 1 species